AUGAAACACUCCUACGGGAGGCAGCAGUGAGGAAUAUUGGACAAUGGUCGGAAGACUGAUCCAGCCAUGCCGCGUGCAGGAUGAAGGUCUUAUGGAUUGUAAACUGCUUUUGCAGGGGAAGAAUAAGGACUACGUGUAGUUUGAUGACGGUACUCUGUGAAUAAGCAUCGGCUAACUCCGUGCCAGCAGCCGCGGUAAUACGGAGGAUGCGAGCGUUAUCCGGAAUCAUUGGGUUUAAAGGGUCUGUAGGCGGGCUGGUAAGUCAGAGGUGAAAGCGCUUAGCUCAACUAAGCAACUGCCUUUGAAACUGCUGGUCUUGAAUGGUUGUGAAGUAGUUGGAAUGUGUAGUGUAGCGGUGAAAUGCUUAGAUAUUACACAGAACACCGAUAGCGAAGGCAUAUUACUAACAAUUAAUUGACGCUGAUGGACGAAAGCGUGGGGAGCGAACAGGAUUAGAUACCCUAGUAGUCCGAAGUUC
rnacentral:rRNA from 1 species